AAAUGACUUCAAGAAAGUUUUUUGUUGGUGUGGAGGCGGCUUUGGAGGAGUUUGAUCGGAUGUCCGACACUGAAACUUGCAGCGAGGCUAGCUAGCUUUGACUCGGUCAGAGAAGCUGCUUACAAACUGGGAGAAGACCCUGAUUUUGAUUGUAGCAUCCAGUGGUGAAGAAUGGGAGCCAGCAAGUCAGGAUACUUAUCUUGUGUGUGUGUGUGUGUGUGUGUGUGUGUGUGUGUG